AAAAAGGCAAACCGUGGGUUCCCGUGCCAACGUUUGACUAUCCGUCUUAUAUGAAAUUUUUUUAUAACUAGUAUUUUCAUUGUUGUUAGAUGAUAAAACAUGAUAAAUACUUUAUGUGUGACUUAUCUUUUAAUUUUUUUCAUAAUUUUUUCAAAUAAGACAAACGGUCAAACGUUGGAUACGGAAUAGGGUUUGUCUUUUU
rfam:Oryza nivara chromosome 6, whole genome shotgun sequence.